AUAUUGGCAAGACAAAUCCGUACAUUAUUGAUGUGGGCGGUUUAGGAAUCUUACCACACGAUCCCCGGAUUUGUAACCCAGCGAUCUUCUCACUGAGCAUUUCCGAAUCGAAGCUUUUAUGUGACGAUGUGUCAAAAUGCCCAGAGAAGAGAUCAAAUCUGAUACUGCUCGACCAUAUACGGACACAUAGUCAGAACCACCGCGACAUAUGCACUUAUCGGAAUGAAUUGCACUAUGUUGAAAUACAACCAGUGGCUUAAGGCUUCUUUUAAAGAUGGGAAAAAAACUUCCUUCAAAGACGUUGACAAUUGCCUAUAAACACAUGGUGCUGAUAUCUGGAUGCAGAUGUCAAGCAAAUGUGCAAGACGUGGGGACAUCUGGAAAGACUAGCCCAGAACCGAGAUAUAUUGAAGAAGUUGGUUAAAUGAAUAUGUCCAAGGCGAGACGCCAUGCGAUGCUGAGAUGAACGGCAUAUCAAAUUAACAUAGUGAUCAAAACGCAAGUACUUCAAGUACUGUAUAAACUAUUUUUUAUAUUCCCAAAACAGUUUGUUAUAUUAAAUGUUGUUUUGUAUACUUUGCCCUGUAUUGCAUCGACAAAAACUUUCUUGCGUCGAAGUGACUUGCGGGUGUUAACACUAGUUUCUCUCACUUAUGUUUAAAUCAUGAAUGUGUUGAGUCGCAAAGAUAACAAUUAAUGCUGACACAAUAGGAUGUAUGAGCGAUUGAAUAUAGUAUAUACGUCUAUAUUGUGUAAAUGAUGUAUUGGUUAUUGUGAGUAGGGAUAAAUGU